rnacentral:ribozyme from 1 species
AAUUUUUUUUUUUUUUUUUUUUUUUUUUU